rnacentral:misc_RNA from 1 species
UCUCGGCGAAGGGAUGGCCAGCCUGUUCCUCGGCAAGAAGGUCAUCGACGAUGACUUGCUCGACGA